AUGUCUGAAGUUCAAGAUCGCUUCCCAAUAGUCUCUGUUUGCACGUGGAGGAUUUUUUACAAAAUACUGGAAUGUCUUUCAAUCUCCUUUCCCAGAUUUCACAACAAGUUGGAAUAUGCUCAAAGUCAUGCUUUUUGUUCUCCCCUCAAAUGGACCAGAAAACAAAUGCUCUGUUUUAACCAAAAUAACUGGCUGGUGAGUGAGAAGCCCACGAUCAAAACAAAUGCCUCAGCUGUCACUGAACUGGAAACAUUUAUGGAUGCGAAGAUGUUUAGAAAUGUGAGUGGUAAUUCUAAAACAGCCCCUCCCCGACUCCCUCCCCGCGUCUCUCUCCCCAGGAAUCAGGUCUCACAACCCCAGGAUCCCAGAGGAUCUUUUCACUGCAGAAGAGCCACUGAGGCCUGAAGGUUCCUGAUUUACCUUUGUGAACCUUGGCCUCCCUGAUGUGGUGGAGACGAAAACUGCAAAAACCCCGAAAAGCGGGAUUUGGGGGGAAAUAAGCAGAAUUGUCAGUCAAGCCCAAAAAACACUGCUGAAAACAGAUGGGAAGACUGAGGCACAGAAAUGACUAGGUAGGUGACUCAAGGUCACACACCUAGCAGACUUGGUCGCGUCACGCUGUGUGCCUCUCUAAGGGCAUGGACCGUAGGGACUGGCAGCCAAGGCUCCGAUGCCCAGCCCUGGAGUGGGGAGCAGGGGUACAGGAUCAGCUGGGUGGGGCCAGUCCCACCUCAGUCACCUGGACUGAGAGUUGGGGGAAGGUGAUUCCCCAAAGGGAACCUGGGUGCUCUUGCCAGAAGAAGAGGGAUUGGGUGCCGGGCAGGGGAAACCACAUGACCCUCUAUGAUGAGACUAUAGGAAAGUGUGUACAGAGAGGAUAUUUUUCUCUCCAGUCUGAUGUUGGGCCCCAAUUUCAAAGAACAGGAGGCUAUAAAAAGAGCAAGGGAAGGAAGUGCUAAUUAAAAGGUCCCUGCAGGCUCUGGGGUCAGGAAGAACAAAGAAGCGGAGUUAGGGAGGCUCACAGCCUAAGGGUCAUUGCAAGGGCUCUGGGGGCAGGACGGAGGGUCAGCCCAAGGACCUUAGACAGAUGGGGCAUGGGACCUCUGUAACUUCAUCUUUCUCAUUUGCAAAAUAGUGAUAAAAUACUGAUCUCUCAGAUUUCUUGACAGCAUUCCAUGUCUAAUAUAUGUUGGUUCCUUAGCCCCAUGCUUAGU
rnacentral:lncRNA from 1 species